rnacentral:rRNA from 1 species
CCUACGGGGGGCAGCAGUGAGGAAUAUUGGUCAAUGGCCGGAAGGCUGAACCAGCCAAGCCGCGUGAAGGACGAAGGUGCCAAGCAUUGUAAACUUCUUUUGUCAAGGGACAAAAUCAGGCUCGAGAGCCUGACCGAGGGUACUUGAAGAAAAAGCAUCGGCUAACUCCGUGCCAGCAGCCGCGGUAAUAUGUAGGGGGCAAGCGUUAUCCGGAUUUACUGGGUGUAAAGGGAGCGUAGACGGUUAUGUAAGUCUGGAGUGAAAGCCCGGGGCCCAACCCCGGGACUGCUUUGGAAACUGUGUAA